UACAGAGGUCUCAAGCGUUGUUCGGAUUCAUUGGGCGUAAAGGGUGCGUAGGUGGCGCGCUAAGUCAGGUGUGAAAUUUCGGAGCUUAACUCCGAAACUGCAUUUGAUACUGGCGUGCUUGAGGACUGGAGAGGAGACUGGAAUUCAUGGUGUAGCAGUGAAAUGCGUGGAGAUCAUGAGGAAGACCAGUGGCGAAGGCGGGUCUCUGGACAGUUCCUGACACUGAGGCACGAAGGCCAGGGGAGCAAACGGG
rnacentral:rRNA from 1 species